rnacentral:lncRNA from 1 species
UUACUUCUGUUUCUUGCUAUUUGUUCCAAGUUGUUUUCUUUUGUCUAUUCAGAUUUGAUCCUGUGGCCCCCCUCCCCCAAAGUUGUGCUUGCUUCUUUGAUAUAACUACUGCUCUUUAUUGAUAAGGAAGCAUGAUAAUUAAGUAUCCAAUCCAAUUGCUUUUAAUUACUUUGAUACAAGUAUGCAUAUGACCUUUACAAUUUUAUGUAAAACCAUCUAUAGUAGAAUAAUUUUGUUUGUUUUUCUGUAUAUGAACAUUCGCGUGAUAAGAAAAGUAGCUGCAAUGGGGUAUGGUUUUGCUCCCUUUUAUAAUAAGGAUCCAUGCUUUCUUUGUCCAAAAUAACAUCGUGGCAGGUGUAGAUUUGUUGAUGGGCUGAUCAUUAAAGGGGGAGCUUGUAAACUUGUAGCUCCAAUUUGGCAGGUUCUCUGCUGGAAUCCAAAUGAUUUUUGCCCAAAAUUGAUUCUUGUAUGGUGUCAUAGUACAGGCUUGUGCCUGCUUGUUGUUAACUAAGCCUGCCUCCAAACACCAUUACACUUGAUCUUCAUGUUUCCAGGUUAGGUUCAAAAGUAAAUGCACCUUCAAUCAUGUCCAGUCAUCUAAUAUAAUGCAUCAAUCAUCUUAUAAGUCAGCUAUAAACAUGACCCAUUAAAAUUGAAGCAAACAAGGAUGUUGCUACAAUGCUAUUCUCAACUGUCCCUAUUUUUGUGUUGAGGGGUUACCCAUGAUUUCAGGAUUGAGAUCCCUACAGUUCAUGACCUCAACAUGAACUCCCACCCCUCCUCCCUCUCUCACAACACUCAGACAUGAACGCAUGGAAAUGCAUAUUUAUCUUUUCCCUUCUUCCCUGGUAUACAUUGCCCUUAUAUCAUACUCUUUUCUUGAGGUCACUUGUGGGGCUGUUGAUGGGAAGCUAAGUAACAAGAUGCUUUAAAUUAAGUUUUUCAAUUAAAUUGCCAGGACAAGAAAAUUGUUGAACAUAGAUUUGAUAGCUUGGUGAUGUCAUUAGCUGUAAUUGAUUAUUGACCUGGUUGGCUGGGUACAGAUUGGUCCAUAACCUUAUGGGUGCACAGCUUGAGUGAGACCUGUGAUGACAGAGCGUCAUGGUGGAUGCUUCUAUAGGCACUCUUGGUUUGGUAUCCUGGCUAGUUCACAUUUUCAUCUUGUUUUUAUUGCUAAUUAUGUGCCUUAGGACUUUCUUCUUUUUUAAGGGCUUAUUUAUCAGAAUUUCCUGUAUUUUAAUCUACAAAAGAAAAUUAUAUUUGCUUGUAGAUGAUAAAAAGUUGUUUUACGUUUGUUUUUAUUUGAAACGAGUACGUACCGAUACUAUUGAUAUUCAGCCAACUACUGGUAUUGUAUGGGAAAAGCUCAAUGUCACAUUUGUAGCUUCUGUCUAAGCUUACAUUAAUACAGUUAUUAGCUGUUGCUGCCUUUUGAUAGAUGUUUUGUUGCUUAAAAGACACAUUAAGCACGUGCACUGGUACUGUGAGAUUAGUGAGUCAUCGUCAUAGGAGGCUGCUUAUGUUUGCCCUACAGUGCAAUACGGUUCUGAGUUUCCUGCACCUUCAAUCAUGUCCAGUCAUCUAAUAUAAUGCAUCAAUCAUCUUAUAAGUCAGCUAUAAACAUGACCCAUUAAAAUUGAAGCAAACAAGGAUGUUGCUACAAUGCUAUUCUCAACUGUCCCUAUUUUUGUGUUGAGGGGUUACCCAUGAUUUCAGGAUUGAGAUCCCUACAGUUCAUGACCUCAACAUGAACUCCCACCCCUCCUCCCUCUCUCACAACACUCAGACAUGAACGCAUGGAAAUGCAUAUUUAUCUUUUCCCUUCUUCCCUGGUAUACAUUGCCCUUAUAUCAUACUCUUUUCUUGAGGUCACUUGUGGGGCUGUUGAUGGGAAGCUAAGUAACAAGAUGCUUUAAAUUAAGUUUUUCAAUUAAAUUGCCAGGACAAGAAAAUUGUUGAACAUAGAUUUGAUAGCUUGGUGAUGUCAUUAGCUGUAAUUGAUUAUUGACCUGGUUGGCUGGGUACAGAUUGGUCCAUAACCUUAUGGGUGCACAGCUUGAGUGAGACCUGUGAUGACAGAGCGUCAUGGUGGAUGCUUCUAUAGGCACUCUUGGUUUGGUAUCCUGGCUAGUUCACAUUUUCAUCUUGUUUUUAUUGCUAAUUAUGUGCCUUAGGACUUUCUUCUUUUUUAAGGGCUUAUUUAUCAGAAUUUCCUGUAUUUUAAUCUACAAAAGAAAAUUAUAUUUGCUUGUAGAUGAUAAAAAGUUGUUUUACGUUUGUUUUUAUUUGAAACGAGUACGUACCGAUACUAUUGAUAUUCAGCCAACUACUGGUAUUGUAUGGGAAAAGCUCAAUGUCACAUUUGUAGCUUCUGUCUAAGCUUACAUUAAUACAGAUAUUAGCUGUUGCUGCCUUUUGAUAGAUGUUUUGUUGCUUAAAAGACACAUUAAGCACGUGCACUGGUACUGUGAGAUUAGUGAGUCAUCGUCAUAGGAGGCUGCUUAUGUUUGCCCUACAGUGCAAUACGGUUCUGAGUUUCCUGCACCUUCAAUCAUGUCCAGUCAUCUAAUAUAAUGCAUCAAUCAUCUUAUAAGUCAGCUAUAAACAUGACCCAUCAAAAUUGAAGCAAACAAGGAUGUUGCUACAAUGCUAUUCUCAACUGUCCCUAUUUUUGUGUUGAGGGGUUACCCAUGAUUUCAGGAUUGAGAUCCCUACAGUUCAUGACCUCAACAUGAACUCCCACCCCUCC